rnacentral:rRNA from 1 species
CUACGGGAGGCAGCAGUAAGGAAUAUUGGUCAAUGGACGCAAGUCUGAACCAGCCAUGCCGCGUGAAGGAUGAAGGUCCUCUGGAUUGUAAACUUCUUUUAUAGGGGACGAAAAAAGGGAAUUCUUUCUCGUCUGACGGUACCCUAGGAAUAAGCACCGGCUAACUCCGUGCCAGCAGCCGCGGUAAUACGGAGGGUGCAAGCGUUAUCCGGAUUUACUGGGUUUAAAGGGAGCGUAGGUGGGCAGUUAAGUCAGUGGUGAAAUCUCCGGGCUUAACCCGGAAACUGCCAUUGAUACUAUCUGUCUUGAAUAUUCUGGAGGUAAGCGGAAUAUGUCAUGUAGCGGUGAAAUGCUUAGAUAUGACAUAGAACACCGAUUGCGAAGGCAGCUUGCUACAGGAUUAUUGACACUGAGGCUCGAAAGCGUGGGGAUCAAACAGGAUUAGAUACCCCUGUAGUCC